UUGGGCAAUGUAGUCAUAAGUAGCUUCGGCUUCGGUGCACUGCGAGUGUCGACAGUUGAAAAGCAAUCGUUGAACAAAGCAGAUGGGCGGAGGGUCAGCUAAAGUAGGAGUUAGAUUUGCAAUCGAAAAGUGUGCAUAAUUUGAAUUGAGCACCACUGCGAGACGCCAAAUCACACACACACACACACACUCGCACAGCUACAUAUACACACAUACGCCACUAGGUAAACAACACAACUGUGCGGCAGCGGCGGCUAUAAAUAAAUUUGAAUGUUGCCAUGACGUCAUCGAUGGAGUAAACAUCUGGCGCUUUAACACCAAGAAAGUGCAACUUAUGCGGGCAGCAAAUACCCAGCACAUGUCUCACAGAUACCAAAAAGUCGAAAUGGUCUGCAUAAUUGUAUUUGGACACCUUGACCAAAAAUUAAUGAAUGAAGCAAAGCGAAAUUUGGGUCACUUCUAGCGUUAUGAUGAUAAUGACGAUGAUGUAAUAUCGUUAAUAUUUCAAUUUGGAAUGUUCUGCUUGUUUCGCUUACUGAACGGGCGGCAUUUCUGGUAAUUGGCUUUCACUUGUUGCACUUGUUGCAGCUCGCCUCAGUCAAUUUCUACGUACACGCUCGACGUUUUUAGCUUCACUGAAAACGGCAAACAAAAUAUAAAAGUAUCUUUUCUAUAAAUCAGUGUUGA